UGGAAGUAAAAGUCGUAACAAGGUUUCCGUAGGUGAACCUGCGGAAGGAUCAUUAAUAAAUAAGUCAACAUUGAUGUUGGCAUUUAAUAAUCAUCCUACCCUUUGUGAAUUGUGUUGAAAUGUUUAUUUAUUAAGUGUCUUUCCCCUAAUGGAAAAAAAAAAAGUAGUUUUUGGAAGUUAGGGGAUAGACUUUAAUAGACUUUUUUUUAAAUAAAACUUUAUGUAUUCAUUUGUCUAAAAUUAUUUUUAUAAUAUAAAGAACAACUUUUGACAAUGGAUCUCUUGGUUCUCGCAACGAUGAAGAACGCAGCAAAAUGCGAUAAGUAGUGUGAAUUGCAGAAUACGUGAAUCAUCGAAUCUUCGAACGCAUAUUGCACUUUUUUAGUUUACUAAAAAAGUAUGUCUGUUUGAGUAUCAGUAAAAUAUUCUCAUAAAAAAUAUUAUUUUUUAUGGUUAUGAGUGUUUUACAACGAUAAACAAGUUGUUUCACUUUAAAUUUUUUUUAUAUUGAAAUUUUUUCUAAUUUUAAUAAAAUUGGAUAAAAUUUUCCUUUCACAAGGAAUAACCUAAACAAUUUUAUUUACUUUAGAAUCCAAUUUCAUAAAAAAGGAAAUUUACAAUCAAAAUAACUUGAUCUCAAAUCAGAUAAGAGUACCCGCUGAACUUAAGCAUAUCAGUAAGCGGAGGAAAAGAAACUAACUAGGAUUCCCUCAGUAACGGCGAGUGAAGCGGGAAGAGCUCAAAUUUGAAAUCUUCAAGGUUUUACCUUGACGAAUUGUAGUUUAAAGAAGUGUUUUCUGUUGGAGUUUUGGUAAAAGUUCUUUGGAAUUAGGACAUCAUAGAGGGUGAGAAUCCCGUAUUUGACCAUUAUUUCCAGCUUUGUGAUACACUUUCAAAGAGUCGGAUUGUUUGGGAAUGCAGUCCAAAAUGGGUGGUAAAUUUCAUCUAAAGCUAAAUAUUGGCGAGAGACCGAUAGCGAACAAGUACCGUGAGGGAAAGAUGAAAAGAACUUUGAAAAGAGAGUUAAACAGUACGUGAAAUUGUCAAAAGGGAAGCGUUUGACACCAGUGUUGUUUCUACGAAAAUCAAUUUAUGAUGGCUUGAUGCUAAGCUUUAAGACUUUAUCCGCUUGUUGUUUAGUUUUUCUUGUCUUUGUGAAUGCACUUUUCGUGGAACAAGUCAACAUCAAUUUCUUUUGCUGUAAAAGGGUAAGAGGAAGGUGGCUUCGGCUUCGGUUGAAGUGUUUAUAGCCUUUUAUCUCUGCAGUCGGAGAGAUUGAGGUCUGCAGCGUAGACUCUUCGGGGUUAGAUACGUCGGUGCUAAGCUAUAGCUUUUCAUAGACAACUUGUUGACUAUGUUUAGUCAUGUGGCUUACCCGCUGGCGCUAUUUUACCUACGCUUAGGAUGUUGACG
rnacentral:misc_RNA from 1 species